UACAGAGGUGGCAAGCGUUGUUCGGAAUUACUGGGCGUAAAGAGCGUGUAGGCGGCCAGACAGGUCCGUUGUGAAAACUAGAGGCUUAACCUCUAGACGUCGAUGGAAACCGUCUGGCUAGAGUCCGGAAGAGGAGAAUGGAAUUCCUGGUGUAGCGGUGAAAUGCGCAGAUAUCAGGAAGAACACCCGUGGCUAAGGCGGUUCUCUAGUACGGUACUGACGCUGAGACGCGAAAGCGUGGGGAGCGAACAGG
rnacentral:rRNA from 1 species